rnacentral:lncRNA from 1 species
AUGUUCGACUAUCAUGGCGUAAUUUUUCAGCUGACUGGAAACCUGAGAGUGACAUUCCCAAGGAAGAGCCUACUGACACUGCUGCUACUCCUUCUGCUGAAGGCAUCUCCAAAAGAAAGGAAAAUGGCAUUUCUCUUCCUUUUGCUUUCCAAAAAUCUGAGCCUAACUAACAAGGGAAAUACGAUUUUCAGGCUAUGGCUCCUAUAAUUCACAAGGGAGUGUUGAAAGGCAAGAAGGAGUUAUGGCAAGAGAAGAUUGCCAAAAGAUAUGCGAUAUGAUAGGCACCGCUUUAAGUCUUUUAAGAUGAUGAAUAGUGAUAGAUGAUAGAUAGAUAGAUAGAUAGAUAUUUUUAACUUUUUUAAUGUUUAUUUAUUUUUUAGAGAGAUGGACAGAGGAUGAGCGGGGGAGGGGCAGAGAGAGCAAGAGACACAGAAUCUGAAGCAGGCUCCAGGCUCUGAGCUGUCAGCACAGAGCCUGAGUUGGGGCUCGAACUCAGGAACCAUGAGAUCAUGACUUGAGCCAAAGUCAGAUGCCCAACCGACUGAGCCACCCAGGUGCCCCAGAUGGGUAUACAUUUAGUUCCUAACAACCCUGUGUGGUAGGUAUGCUUUAUAUGUAUUUCACCACAAGGAAUUAAAGGUAAUAUGAAGCUAGAUCACAUCAAUCAAACUCAUAUAGCUAUCAAGAGGUGGAAUUAAAAUUUGAACCUGGACAAUAUGAUUCUAGAGUUCAUACCUGCAAUUGUACUGCAAUUCAACAAGCACAGGUGCUCAGCACCCUCAUUCAUUUGUCUAAAAUUAAAAGCUAGUUUUUUCCAGGACCCCCUUCUAAGCAUUGUGAUACACACCAGCCUAGGUCUUUCAUAUGACCUGAUCUUUGCUUACCACUGAUGUUGGCCAAAUUCAAUCUAUACAGCUCUUUUUCUUUGUAUAACCAACGAUUUUAACAUUAUGUAAUUUCAUAUAGGUUGUCUUGCUUGGUCACCUUUCCUUGAACAACUGCUGCUAACUAUACUGGCCUCAGCAUUUGGAAAGCUACUGUCCCUCCCUUUUCUAUCUGUGCUUAACAUGAAUACUUCACCCAGUCAUGGAACAGACCCUCUGUUUAAGUUCUUAUCCAUUGGCUAUCCAUAGCCAAGAGGCUAUCCAUUGACUGGGUUUUACCAAAGGCUGGAGAUACAGAAAAGCUAUCAAAACACAGAAUAAACACAAUUACAAUAAAAUAAGGCUACUUUUG